rnacentral:rRNA from 1 species
GAUACGUUCUUUUCUCGCAUGAAAAAAGAUGGAAAGACGGUUUACGCUGUCACUUAUAGAUGGGCCCGCGGCGCAUUAGCUAGUUGGUGAGGGAAUGGCUCACCAAGGCAACCAUGCGUAACCGACCUGAGAGGGUGAUCGGCCACACUGGGACUGACACACGGCCCACACUCCUACGGGAGGCAGCAGUAGGGAAUCUUCCGCAAUGGACGAAAGUCUGACGGACCACCGCCGCGUGAACAAAGAAGGCCUUCCGGUCGUAAAGUUCUGUUGUUAGGAAAGAACAAGUACCAAAGUAACUGCUGGUACCUUGACGGUACCUAACCAGAAAGCCACGGCUAACUACGUGCCACCAGCCGCGGUAAUACGUAGGUGGCAAGCGUUGUCCGGAAUUAUUGGGCGUAAAGCGCGCGCAGGUGGUUCCUUAAGUCUGAUGUGAAAGCCCACGGCUCAACCGUGGAGGGUCAUUGGAAACUGGGGAACUUGAGUGCAAAAAAGGAGAGUGUAAUUCCGAGUGUAGCGGUGAAAUGCAUAUAGAUUUGAAGGAACACCAGUGGCGAAAGCUACUUUCUGGUCUGUAACUGACACUGACGC